UAUAUGUGACUGCCGUGGUGUUAGUGUGCGUGUGCCACCUAUUCAGCUAUUGUUGACAUAUUAUAGUUGACAUAUUAUUUUUUAGCCGACUUCCAAAAAAGGAGGAGGUUCUCAAUUCGACUGUAUUUUUUUUAUGUAUGUUACAUCAGAAUUUUUGACCGGGUGGACCGAUUUCGACAUUUUUUUUUAAUCGAAAGGUGGUGUGUGUCAAUUGGGCCCAUUUAAAUUUAUUUGAGAUCUAACAACUACUUUU
rnacentral:misc_RNA from 1 species